CUCGUAACAAUAAUUAUGAAAUAAUAUAACAAUAAUAAUAAUAUUGUAAUGAUAAUAUAAUAAAUUUAGUUCUAUGUAAACAAUAAUAGACUAUGGCGAGAAUAAUACAUAUUAUAAUUUAUAAUAUUAUUAUUAUAAUCAUAUAGCUGUAAAUAUAUAUAAUUUUUUUUUUAAAUUUAUGAAUCUAUAAUAUAUUAAGAUUAAUACAUUUUUGUCAAUAUAUUAUGUAACAAUAAUUGUUUUAAAUUGAAUUGCCUAGAUUAAAAUGCAGUUUUUUAUUUUUUUUGUUUUUUUUCUCUGUUGGAAAUUCAAACACAUUUCACUUAUGUUUAAAUAAAAUAUUUGUAAAAACAUUAUUAUCCUAUUAAUAUAUAUUUAUAUAUAUUUUUUUUUUUCAAAUAGGAAUAAAUGGAAGACAAUAUAUAAUAUAAUAAUACACUAAAAUAAUUACGAAUUAUACAAUUUUAACAGCAUCAGUAUAGUGUGAUUGAGUCGUUUUAAAAACAAAAUAACGUGAACUUAACGACUAAUAGGUGUGUGUACAUCAUGAUUCCGGUAAUUUAGAAUUUGGCGAUUGACUAUUGAAAUAAUAAUAUAAUAUCUAUAAUAACGUAAUUGAUUUUUUUUUUUUUUUUAAUUUCUCUAAUAUUGAGUUCUAUACAUAAUAAAAUAUUAAAAAUAAUACUAUUCUAUCCUAUUUAAUGACUGAGGUAUCAAGUAAUUUUUAAUAAUAUUAUGUACACAGAAUUUUACUAUACGUACUUAUUUCAGAGCCGAAUUUGACGGAGGGCACCUGUACCGGACCCCGGAGGACUUUCAGGAGAGCCCCAUUUUUUUUUUUUUUUGACGGUUUGAAAUCGCUUGCACAUAGAGACUGUAAACGUCACGUCUGCAAAGUAAGGGUAUUUAAUAAUAUAAUCGGCUUGAGUCAGGGCGGGGCCCACGGAGUUGAAAUUCAUAAAAAGAAAAUCGAAAAUUGGUGUCAGAUUAAAGCGGUUAUUUUAGAAUAUUCGAAAAUGCAAUUUAUUAAUAUACGUAGUAUUGUAUUACCUGAAGAUUUAUUACAGUUGAGUGAUUAAAAACACACCACAAAGGAAACGGCGGACUAUGUACAAUAUGAUGUGUAAAUUUGUGAACCUAACCUAUUGAAAGAAAUUCUGGAUCGUUUUAAGAGGUCUGAUGUCUAUGCGUUUUUUAGCUCGAAAAUACGCCUUAUGAGCAAAACUCUUGUGCUUCGUAGAGUGGUGCAAUUCAGACUUUCUACAAAUCGUAUUGAACUUUGUUUUUCAAUAUUCUCAUAUCAAAAUAUAUAAUACGCCUUUAAAAAAGAUCAAUUUGUAUAUAUUUUUUGUCGACUUUAUUAUACUGUUAUUUUGAAAUCUAGUAAAUAAUCAGAGUUCAAUGAAGUCUAUAGAAUAUGGUUGUUUUUCAAUUAAAAAAUAGAAGCAUGAAAAAUAUUGUGUUGACAAUGAAGUUAUACCUAUUUCCGCAUAGUAAUUUUAACCCAUAAAAACAGCCGUACUAUUUCCAUUUAAACGAUUAGUAGAUUGUGAAUAACUCUUAUUUUAUAAGGUGAACAAUAAAAUGUUAAAAAAAAAAAUAUUCAUACUAGACAAAAUGUGUAAAGCCGACCCCUUAAUGCUAAUAAUAAAAGCAUUCUAGCACUCACGUUAAACUUCGAUAAUGCUGUCGCACCUGUUACUAGGUCAACUAGUUGUUCUACCUCAAAAUCAACGGAGUUUGAUGAUAAACUUAUAAAAAGAUCACUCUAUGACAGUCAAAUUUUCUGUUCCCUGGUUUCCGUAAUGUUUAAAUCCGGCUCUGAAUUGUUCUAAUAACUCCUCUGAAGAUAGGUAUUAUAUAUUGUUGUUUUCACUAUUAUAUAUUAUUAUGUAUUCUUCAACAGUAUAUUAUUGAUGUAAUAAAUUUAAAAAAAAAACAAAAAAAAAAAAUAAUAAAAAAAAAUCAUUCUAAUUUAGAAUAUAAUUCGUACAAAAUACUAGCGAUAAAAUAUAGAAAUGUAUUAUUAUUUAUUCAAUGUUAUUUUGUUUAUUUUUUGUUUUUAUUUUUUCUUAACACCGUAAGCCUUAAUGUAUAACAUAAUAUUAUUACAAUGGACUUAAACGUUAAUUGAGUAUAAUUGAAAAAUAAAAUUUCAACUAGCUAUAAUAUUUUAUAAAUAUUAUAUAUAGGCUUAGAAUAUGUUUCGUAGCUAUUUUUGUUUGAAUUAAUUUGUAUAUAAUAUAAUAAUAUUAGUAUUGUAUGUACUGUAUAAAAAAAAAAGAAUAAAUAAAUUGCAUGAGGCUCAAGCGUUAACGUCCUCUUUGUUUUUUGGACCCACAAUAAAGCGAAAAGAAAAAAAUAUAUAUGUAUAUAUAUUUCGAAUGGUUUUUCUUUCUUUUUUUUUAUAAUACAAACAUUUUUACAUUAUUUUUAUUUAUAAUAUAUUUUCUUCCAAAAACUUUCAGCACGGGUUUAAUAUGUAACAAAUAAACAUUUUUAUGGAUAUAUUAAAAUAAACGGGCUUAUCAAGCAUCCGCUCGAACGUAAUUUACACGCUGUGCAGUAAUAUAAUAUUACUGUUCUGUUCGACAAAAAUAAUAAAACCGCAGUAGACAUCUGCAACUGUUCACACCAAUCAGUACGGUUUUGUAGGAGUUUGAGUUUCAUUAAAAAAAAAUGCGUGUAAAACGUUUUAGGUACCUAGGUAUUUAUUGAAUUUGAUUACGACGAAUAAUUUCCGAUAUUUUCUGUUCAGACCACAUGUUUUAGUUUUAGUUUCAUUCGGCGGCGGCGGUAUGAGGUUUCGGUCGGACAGUGUUAAAAGGUAAAAUGUGUUAAGGUAAAACAUCGGAUUGUCGAUUAAAAAAUAAUGCACGAGUCUACGCAACCGCAUGUAGGAGAAGUUUUGCUCUGUCGAACAUCAUUAUCAAAAAUGAACUUUACUAUAUCAUACUUUUCUUCCGCCGGGCCCUUAAUUUAUAUUUCACGUUAUCUAAUUUUACAUCGAUUAGUCGUCAGUUUCGUGGGCGCGCAUUAGUAUUUAUUUUUAUUUUUACUUUUGUACAGCUAUUUCUCUGUUCGGUUCCACGACAUAUUUUGUUUUAUGUCGGUAUACCCCGGCAUUUAGUCACUUCGAUGGUCGAUUAUCAUACGCAUACAAAUCAUGGGCGAAUUAAAAAAAAAAAAAUGAUAGAAAACUUAUCUACUCGGUAUAACGUAUUAGGACACAUACCCCAAGGACGCGGCCGGAAAUAGGAUACCUACAUAAUAUUAUAACGUAUUUUUCGUUUUAAUUUUUCGAAAUUUUCAUAAAAACAAAGGUUACACCCGUAUAUAACCCGACAUUCACCGGCACGGCGUAUAUAUUAUUGCAGGAUACGUGAUCGGCAACACAAACGUAAUAUUUUCGUAUCGAGGAAUUUCCAUUUUUAUUUUCGGAGACUAUUUUACGUGAGACUAUACCUAGCUGUAAUUUGGAAAAUAACUAUUACGCGCGUAUAAUAUUCGAUAUAUUUUCAAAAUGAUUGUUAUUAUUAUUUUUUUUUUCGUCAAAACGUGUCUAAUAUAACGAUCAGCGGCGUAGCCCGGAAUAGAGGUUAAACCUCCUUAGUGAACAUUUGAGAUUUUUACCAAUACUACGUAGUCGCAUAAUUUAAUUUGUGAUUUAAGAUAUUUUUAUUUGUAUUUUUUAAAAAAGCGUACGCCGUGCACGUCAUCUAUUUAGUGAUUUAUUGUUCCGAAAAUGUGCCCAGGAAUGAAUUUGAAUCCUGCUCGCGCCAAUGAAUGGGGUAGUUACCUAUAGUCGAACAGUAUUUAGAAUUCAAAGCGAAAUUAAAUUAACAAUAUAAUAUUAUAAAAUAAUGUUGAGUACAUGGUUUCUAUUUGAGCUUCGGCUGGUUUUCAUUAUCGCCUUUUUAUAUUCAGACUUAACCCACAACAGAGAAUUGAUUUUUUUUUUCUCUCUGAGAUUAUAUUCGGGCAUGUUUUGAAACUAAAACAAAUAAACAAUCGUUUGUGAUAAAACCGAUCAUUUUAUAACACGCCAUUAUUAGGUAAUGCGUGUAAUCCCGUAAACGAAAAUGUUAUUUCACACUUUUAAUAGUGAUAACUACAAUUAAUCUUUCAUAGGUCGUUACGUGACGUUAAUAAUACGGUUAUAAGUAUAGAAUAUCGUUACCGAUCAAAAAUACAAUCCUUAUCAUAUUUAACAUUUACUCCGUCGUAUAGUAGCGCUCUCGGUGGACCAUAGGGCUAACCGAAUGAUUUAUGAAAAUAAUAGCGGUACAGUGGCGGCGUAUUAAAUUUAAAACUAAAGAUUGCACCGAAUUGGAGUAUUCCACAGUUUUAAUAAAAUCCUCUGUAGUGAUUAUGGAGAUAGAUGCUAUGGUUGCCCAAUGAGCAAUAAUAAUAUAAAGGUACCACAAGUUUUUAACAAAAAUACAAAAAAGUCGUGUCGUACUAAUGUCACGUCAUGUUAGUAAUAUUUUAUAGGUGUAACCUUAGAUCACAUACAAUGGACAGAGCUACGGCUAAACUUCAUAUGAAACGAGUAUGCUGAAAACAUAUUAGGAGGACGUGUAGCUAAUAUGCAUGCAUCGUCCUCCUCAUAAUAGGUACCAUUAAAACCUAUACUGAAUAUUCAGUUAUACAGGGUGAUUUUUUUUAACAUGAAUCAUCAAUUAUCUCGGAGGAUUAAUAGUGAAUUAAAUUUCUGUUUUUUCUAAUCGUUAUGAAAUCGUUAAGUUUUAUUUUAAAACCAUUUUAAAUUUUUUACCCCUACUCCAUAUACCUUAAAUAAGUUCAUACUUUUGAUUUUAAAAAAGGAAUCGCCCUUUUAAACACAGAUUUGAAUAAAGAAUAUUUUUCUAGAAAUUUUGGUUUGCAUAACACUGAUAUCAGAUUCAUCAUUUAUGAGUUAUGACAGUUUAAAGUUUAGACUGGAGGAGUAGAGAAGGGUCAUAGAUAAGCAAUUUAUUACCCUUCCCUACUUCUCUGGACAAAAGGGGAGGGGGUUCCUAUUUGAAAAUCAAAAGUGUGCACUUUUCAAGGUAAAUGGAGUGGGUGUAAAAAUUAAAACUGGUUUUAAAAUAAAACAUAACGAUUAGAAAAAACAGAAAUCAAAUUCACUUAAAAUCCUCUGAGAUAAUUGUUGGCCCAUGAUAAAAUAAUCAAUCUGUUUAUUACGAUUCUGUGAUACUUCACUAGGUAGAUUGUGAUGUGUUGGAGACGCGUUUUAUUGCUUACAGUUCUAUCCAUUGUACAUUAUCUAAGGGUGUAACGCUAUAAAAUCAUAGGUAAUAGAUUAUCUAUGUAUAAAUUACCAACCCCGGUUGGGUGGUUAUUAUUAUGAUUAUUUAUAAUGGUAUACGAUUUCUAUAAUAAUGACUGUAGAAGGCACUAGCAGGAUGUGGCUUUUCAACAAUUUCGAUAAGGUCAUUCGGUGCCGUUCAACGCUAUGAUCCAAUAUAGAUCGUCGUAUGACAGUAGUAUCUACAAUAGUAUAUCCGUAGUGGCAAAUCACCAUCUAACAAUAGUUUUAUAUUUAUAUAUAUUUCAUAAGAUCAGUGAACAUUUGCCUUUUCGUUGAAAAUUAGUCUACUUGAUAAACACAAUAAUAUUAUUUGUAUCGACAGCUACAUAUAAGGUUACGUUCGUCAUUAAAAUAGAC
rnacentral:lncRNA from 1 species